CAGUUUCCUGUCUGGUACCUGCAUAAGAAAAAUGAAUUUUUAAAAUAAUUGGUGAUUUUAAUGUAUUCAUCUUUUGCGUUAUAAAACUCUACUCUGGAAGAUACUCUUUAGACAUUCCAGAUAUUGGAAUUUUAUUACAGUAAAAUUUCCAAAAUAAUUUUGGAGACUAACAUGGACUUACUUUCUUCUUUCUUCCUCUUUUUUCUUUCUUUCUUUUUCUUUCUCUUUUUCUUUUCUUUCUUUUUCUUUCUUUCCUUCUUUCUUUCUCUCUCCCUCCUUCUUCUCUCCUUCUUUCCUCUCUCUCCUUCCUUCCUCUCUCUCCUUCUUUCCUCUCUCUGUCUCCUUCCUUCCCUCCUUCCUUCCUCUCUCUCCUUCUUCCCUCUCUCUGUCUCCUUCCUUCGUUCCUUCCUUCCUUCCUUCCUUCCUUCCUUUUUCUUUCUUUUCUUUCUUGACAGAGUCUCACUCUGUCACCCAGGUGGAAGUACAGUGGUGCACUCUCGGCUUGCUUCCCAGGCUCAAGUGAUUCUCAUGCCUCAGCCGCCCAACUACCUGGGACUACAGGCGUGCGCCACCAUGCCUGGAUAAUUUUUGUAUUUUUUAGUAGAGACGGGGUUUCACCAUGUUGGCCAGGCUGUUCUCGAACUCCUGACCUCAGGUGCUAGGAUUAUAGGCGUGAGCCACCACGCCCGGACUAACAUGGAGUUUUUUAACUUUUGUUUUUGCCAAGGUAUCACCAGUCUGUGGGUACAAAAGGAGAGUAACAUGAACGAUUCAAAUUCCACUGGCUCUUGUUCCCAUGGAUUCACAGAAGUUCAGCCCCAUUUCAAAACUUCACAUUUGCUUCUGGGAAGCCCAUUCUGGAAAGUUUCUCUGUGGCCCUCUCCAGAAGGCAGCGCGACUUCCACCCAGCAACACAAGUCUCUGCAGCACCUGCCCCAGCAGCGCCAGCUGAGCCCCGGAAGCUGGGAAGGCUUAAGCUGACUCUUCUGCUGCACAUAGCAAAAAAUGGUCAUUUCUGUAGUUGCAGCUCCAGAUCUACAAUAAUCAAUCUAUAUCCAUAUUUUAUGGGGUUUUUUUGAGACAAAGUCUUGCUCUGUUACUCAGGCUGGAGUGCAGUGGCAUUAUCAUCAUUCACUUGUAGCCUUGACCUCCCUGGCUCAGGUGAUCCUGUCACCUCAGCCUUCCAAGUAGCUGAGACCACAGGCAUGCACCACUAAGCCUGGCUAAUUUUUCAAUUUUUAUUUUUCGUAGAGACAGGGUCUCCCUGGGUUGCCCAAACUGGUCUUGAAUUCCUGGGCUCAAGCAAUCCUCCUGUCCCGGCACCCCGAAGUGUUGGGACUACAGGCAUGAGCCACUGUGCACAGCCC
rnacentral:lncRNA from 1 species